GGUUGACAUACCCUGCAAGAUAUAUUUAUGAAGGAUAUACAUUAUUCUGAUCUAUAUAUAUUUUUGUGGAGUGUAUCUGUUAUUAUCCAAUUUAGGUUUCUCUUGUUCUGCUUGGUUGUUUUUGAUAUGCUGAUACAAUUUAUUUGCCUAUCGUAUGGCUGCUGUAGUUUGCAUUUAUCAUUUGUUUUCUCCACUUAUUGUUAUCUGUUCUUGAAGAGGCAAAAAGACUGCCAAUUAUUUAUCAUUCUUGAAUCAGCUAUGAUGAGUCAAUACUUGCACCUUAUUAUUUUAUGUCUUACAAGUACAUUGGCUACUGGCCUUCUUUGAGACUUCUGCUUGAUAAAAUUUCAAAAUGCUUUAGAGAUUGCUAAGUAUUCAAUGAAUCUUGCAUCUUCCAUAUCUAGCACGACUAUCUUACUACCAAUAACUAUAGUGGAAAGCUAAAUGAGUUGAUAAGUGAUGCUACUGGUGGUCCACAGAUCUGGUCCUGAUGCCA
rnacentral:misc_RNA from 1 species